UCUCCCCACUGUGUCUGUUUUUCUUGGCAGUGUGAGACACUGGUGGAGGAACUGGAGGACGACAUCAUCUCUUUGCUUGGCCGGGAUGAAGGAGGAGACGUGCAGAAGAAGUUAUGCAGCCGAGUCUCAGAUUACUGUAAAGAUGACAGUCAGCCAAAUGAUGAGCUGUAGUGAUUGAAAUCACUUCUGCCUUGGUCUUGGAGUGAACAACUUUUUCAAAGAUCAUUUUGAAACUCUGAAAAUCAUUGUACCAAUUAACUUUUGUAAACAAAUAAAAUAUAAAAUUUUGAGAGAACACA